rnacentral:rRNA from 1 species
CCUACGGGAGGCAGCAGUGGGGAAUAUUGCACAAUGGGGGAAACCCUGAUGCAGCGACGCCGCGUGAGUGAAGAAGUAAUUCGUUAUGUAAAGCUCUAUCAGCAGGGAAGAAAAUGACGGUACCUGAGUAAGAAGCCCCGGCUAACUACGUGCCAGCAGCCGCGGGAAUACGUAGGGAGCAAGCGUUAUCCGGAUUUACUGGGUGUAAAGGGAGCGUAGACGGCAGGGCAAGUCUGGAGUGAAAGGCGGGGGCUCAACCCCCGGACUGCUCUGGAAACUGUACGGCUGGAGUGCAGGAGAGGUAAGUGGAAUUCCGGGUGUAGCAGUGAAAUGCGUAGAUAUUAGGAGGAACACCAGUGGCGAAGGCGGCUUCCUGGACUGUAACUGACGUUGAGGCUCGAAAGCGUGGGGAGCAAACAGGAUUAGAUACCCCGGUAGUC